rnacentral:rRNA from 1 species
UACGGAGGGUGCAAGCGUUGCUCGGAAUUAUUGGGCGUAAAGGGCUCGUAGGCGGUCCAUCGCGUCGGGAGUGAAAAGCUGGGGCUUAACCCCAGUCCUGCUUCCGAUACGGGUGGACUAGAGGUAGGUAGGGGAGAACGGAAUUCCUGGUGUAGCGGUGAAAUGCGCAGAUAUCAGGAGGAACACCGGUGGCGAAGGCGGUUCUCUGGGCCUUACCUGACGCUGAGGAGCGAAAGCAUGGGGGAGCAAACAGG